AUUGAACGCUGGCGGCAUGCCUUACGCAUGCAAGUCGAACGGUAACAGGUUAAGCUGACGAGUGGCGAACGGGUGAGUAAUGUAUCGGAACGUGCCCAGUCGUGGGGGAUAACUGCUCGAAAGAGCAGCUAAUACCGCAUACGACCUGAGGGUGAAAGCGGGGGAUCGCAAGACCUCGCGCGAUUGGAGCGGCCGAUAUCAGAUUAGGUAGUUGGUGAGGUGAAGGCUCACCAAGCCGACGAUCUGUAGCUGGUCUGAGAGGACGACCAGCCACACUGGGACUGAGACACGGCCCAGACUCCUACGGGAGGCAGCAGUGGGGAAUUUUGGACAAUGGGCGCAAGCCUGAUCCAGCCAUGCCGCGUGCGGGAAGAAGGCCUUCGGGUUGUAAACCGCUUUUGUCAGGGAAGAAAAGGUUCUGGCUAAUACCUGGGACUCAUGACGGUACCUGAAGAAUAAGCACCGGCUAACUACGUGCCAGCAGCCGCCGCGGUAA
rnacentral:rRNA from 1 species